AGAGUUUGAUCCUGGCUCAGGACGAACUCUGGCGGCGUGCCUAAUACAUGCAAGUAGAACGCUGAAGACUUUAGCUUGCUAAAGUUGGAAGAGUUGCGAACGGGUGAGUAACGCGUAGGUAACCUGCCUACUAGCGGGGGAUAACUAUUGGAAACGAUAGCUAAUACCGCAUAACAGCAUUUAACACAUGUUAGAUGCUUGAAAGAAGCAAUUGCUUCACUAGUAGAUGGACCUGCGUUGUAUUAGCUAGUUGGUGAGGUAAAGGCUCACCAAGGCGACGAUACAUAGCCGACCUGAGAGGGUGAUCGGCCACACUGGGACUGAGACACGGCCCAGACUCCUACGGGAGGCAGCAGUAGGGAAUCUUCGGCAAUGGGGGCAACCCUGACCGAGCAACGCCGCGUGAGUGAAGAAGGUUUUCGGAUCGUAAAGCUCUGUUGUAAGAGAAGAACGUGUGUGAGAGUGGAAAGUUCACACAGUGACGGUAACUUACCAGAAAGCCACGGCUAACUACGUGCCAGCAGCCGCGGUAAUACGUAGGUGGCAAGCGUUAUCCGGAUUUAUUGGGCGUAAAGGGUGCGCAGUCGGCUUGGUAAGUCUGAGUUGAAAGUGCGGGGGCUUAACCCCGUAUUGGCUUGGAAACUAGUAAGCUAGAGUGCAGGAGAGGUUAGCGGAACUCCAUGUGUAGCGGUAAAAUGCAUAGAUAUAUGGAAGAACACCGGUGGCGAAGGCGGCUAACUGGCCUGUAACUGACGAUGAGGCACGAAAGCGUGGGGAGCAAAUAGGAUUAGAUACCCUAGUAGUCCACGCUGUAAACGAUGAAUACUAAGUGUUGGGGAAACUCAGCGCUGUCGCAAACGCAAUAAGUAUUCCGCCUGGGGAGUAUGUACGCAAGUAUGAAACUCAAAGGAAUUGACGGGGGCCCGCACAAGCGGUGGAUUAUGUGGUUUAAUUCGAUGCAACGCGAAGAACCUUACCAAGUCUUGACAUCCCUGGCGAAGCUAUAGAGAUAUAGUAGAGGUUAUCCGGGAGACAGGUGGUGCAUGGUUGUCGUCAGCUCGUGUCGUGAGAUGUUGGGUUAAGUCCCGCAACGAGCGCAACCCUUGUCGUUAGUUACCAUCAUUAAGUUGGGGACUCUAACGAGACUGCCGGUGACAAACCGGAGGAAGGUGGGGAUGACGUCAAAUCAUCAUGCCCUUUAUGACUUGGGCUACACACGUAAUACAAUGGCGCAUACAGAGGGAAGCGAAGCCGCGAGGUGGAGCAAAUCCCAUAAAGUGCGUCUCAGUUCGGAUCGUAGUCUGCAACCCGACUACGUGAAGUUGGAAUCGCUAGUAAUCGCGGAUCAGCAUGCCGCGGUGAAUACGUUCUCGGGCCUUGCACUCACCGCCCGUCAA
rnacentral:rRNA from 1 species